AUGCUUUCUGAGGUUAAGGCUCGCGAAGAGACAUAUUACGGCGAAGAGGACGAGAGGGAGGCUAAUCUGCAAAUUCGGGAGGAGAUUCUCAAUGCUCGAGAGGAGACCCUCUUCAAACUGGAAAAAACCCUCCGAACUCGUGAAGAAGCUUUGUCCCCUCGCGAGUCUAAGCUAGACUGCCGCAAGGGUGAGAUGCUGGCCAAGGAGGAGGAUCUGGAAAAGUCUCUGACAGAGUUGACCCUGGAGCGUGAGCGUCUUGAGGCUCGAGAGUGUGCGGUUGGGAGCUCUUGGUGUGCGGGAGGAGCGCGUCUCUGCGCUUGA
rnacentral:rRNA from 1 species